UACGUAGGGUGCGAGCGUUGUCCGGAAUUAUUGGGCGUAAAGAGCUUGUAGGCGGUUUGUCGCGUCUGCCGUGAAAAUUCGAGGCUCAACCUCGAACUUGCGGUGGGUACGGGCAGACUAGAGUGUGGUAGGGGAGACUGGAAUUCUCGGUGUAGCGGUGAAAUGCGUAGAUAUCGAGAGGAACACCUGCGGCGAAGGCGGGUUGCUGGGCUGAUACUGACGCUGAGGCGCGAAAGCCAGGGGAGCGAACAGG
rnacentral:rRNA from 1 species